UUGGAGGGCAAGUCUGGUGCCAGCAGCCGCGGUAAUUCCAGCUCCAAUAGCGUAUAUUAAAGUUGUUGCAGUUAAAAAGCUCGUAGUUGAAUUUCGGAGUUUGUCGGUCGGUCGGGCUUCACUGUCCGCACUGGCCUGAUGGAUUCCUACCUUCUGAAUAACCAGCAUGCUAUUAAGUUAGUGCGUUGGGGAAGCAGAGCUAUUACCUUGAAAAAAUUAGAGUGCUUAAAGCAGGCUUAUGCUUGAAUAGAUUAGCAUGGAAUAAUAAAAUAGGACGGCAUGGUUCUAUUUUGUUGGUUUCUAGGAUCACCGUAAUGAUUAAUAGGGAUAGUUGGGGGCAUUAGUAUUCAAUUGUCAGAGGUGAAAUUCUUGGAUUUAUUGAAGACUAACUUCUGCGAAAGCAUUUGCCAAGGAUGUUUUCAUUAAUCAAGAACGAAAGUUAGGGGAUCGAAGACGAUCAGAUACCGUCGUAGUCUUAACCAUAAACUAUGCCGACUAGGGAUCGGACGAUGUUAAUUUUUUAAUGACUCGUUCGGCGCCUUACGGGAAAC
rnacentral:rRNA from 1 species